rfam:Ipomoea nil DNA, scaffold: scaffold3056, cultivar: Tokyo-kokei standard.
UAGCUCAGUCGGUAGAGCGCAAGGCUCUUAACCUUGUGGUCCUGGGUUCAAGUCCCAG